rnacentral:rRNA from 1 species
AACGAACGCUGGCGGCAGGCUUAACACAUGCAAGUCGAGCGCCCCGCAAGGGGAGCGGCAGACGGGUGAGUAACGCGUGGGAACGUGCCCUUUGGUUCGGAACAACUCCGGGAAACUGGAGCUAAUACCGGAUAAGCCCUUCGGGGGAAAGAUUUAUCGCCAAAGGAUCGGCCCGCGUCUGAUUAGCUAGUUGGUGAGGUAAUGGCUCACCAAGGCGACGAUCAGUAGCUGGUCUGAGAGGAUGAUCAGCCACACUGGGACUGAGACACGGCCCAGACUCCUACGGGAGGCAGCAGUGGGGAAUAUUGGACAAUGGGCGCAAGCCUGAUCCAGCCAUGCCGCGUGAGUGAUGAAGGCCUUAGGGUUGUAAAGCUCUUUUGUCCGGGAAGAUAAUGACUGUACCGGAAGAAUAAGCCCCGGCUAACUUCGUGCCAGCCGCCGCAGUAAGAC